UACGAAGGGUACAAGCGUUAAUCGGAAUUACUGGGCGUAAAGCGCGCGUAGGUGGUUCGUUAAGUUAGGAGUGAAAGCCCCGGGCUCAACCUGGGAAUUGCUUCUAAAACUGGCGAGCUAGAGUAUGGUAGAGGGUGGUGGAAUUUCCUGUGUAGCGGUGAAAUGCGUAGAUAUAGGAAGGAACAUCAGUGGCGAAGGCGACCACCUGGACUGAUACUGACACUGAGGUGCGAAAGCGUGGGGAGCAAACAGGAUUAGAUACCCCGGUAGUCCCUGAG
rnacentral:rRNA from 1 species